UACAGUGUGACGUCACAGCGCAGGAGGACUCGAUCGCAUCCGAACCCUCUUUGGCAUUUCAAAUAACGACCUUUGUACUUCGAAAAAUAUGUCUUUAUUGAAGCGAAUCGGAGAAGAAAGGACGUGCACGUUACAAACAAUAAUAUAAUUCUAAUUUAAGGAGAUGAUCUCGCAUGGAGUAACAAGACGUCCUAAUGUGGCAUCUAUCUCGUGAGUCCUUAACCACAAAUGAAUAAAGCAUAUGUCUAUGA